UGUCAUAUUUAGUAAAUUAGUUUUCCUCCUCAGAGGAAAACUCUGUUUUGUUUUUAGGCCCAUCUCCCUACCCUUUCUCCUUUUUCCCCUUUCCUUUUCCCGGGGCAUGGGUCCGUGGUUCCCCCAUUAAUCAUGGAACGGGCCGAACCAGCCUGUAAACAAUUGAAAGUUAAACAGUUAAAAAACAAAACAGUGAGGUUGGAGGUAAGAGCAGGAAACUUUCUGUCAGCUGCUCAAAUCCUGAAUGUCAUUGGAAAGGUAGUACUGAAAAAAAAAUCACACAAUCCCAUACAGCAAGUUUCCCUUGCAUACAGAGGGGAUAACAAUUUGUUACUAACUUUGUUUAUGAUACUGAAGUACUGAAGUGCAAGAGAGUGGAAAUGUGCCAGCACAAAAACUGUUGUAAUUUAGAAGGAACAGGAGUUAAGGUAAAGAUUCCAGUAGCUAUGGGGAAGCUCAAAGGUGACAGGCUGGGGACUGGGAGAAAAAUGAGGAAGAACUUGUAUACACAAGGCUUUUAACAUAUCUCUGCUAUAUUAUAAUGUGGCUCAUGUUUAAUUUGCCUUCUAAUUUGAGUGAAUGCAGUAGUGUAAGAAUUAUGUAAACAGUAAAUUUCUUAAAAAUCAACAACGACCUAACAGCCAUUGGUAAGUAAGGACUGGGAACAGCCAUCACAGAAGUAAUAGAAAUGGACUCAGUGUGUUCUGUGUGCUUUCAAACAGGCACAAAAGCAAUGCAAGAAACAGCUGUGUAAGCAGUACUGCUGGUAAAGUUGUGACAGAAUCUGAAUCACUGCCACUAAUUUCUGAUAGGGAAAACAAGGAGGACAUAUCCUAAUUUAAUCACAAAAUGUUUAUCUUUCAAGGUUUUCACUCUCCCUCUCCUUCCAUGACCCCCUCUCCCUACUUGUUCCCUAAGAGUAAAGUGGAAAUGCAAUGCAACUGUAAUAUAUUUUGCUGUACGAGUACAAGAUCGAGCAUAUAAUCCUGAUUCCAGCAGUUAUAAAAUUAAUGCACUGCUUUCAGUGCAUUUCUCAGCAGAAAGGUCUUGGCAAGCUUAGCUGCCAGCCAGGCAACCAUUCAUUUCUAGGGGGACCACUGUGACAACAUUAGGAUAACAGCCUUAAGCAAUUAAGAAAUGUUCUAUGUAUUUAUGGGGAAAAGUCUGGAGGCUUCUGCAGGCUUGCAGGCAUUUGUCAGAACUGCUGACUAGUAUUCUUCUUCAAAGAGCACCUACCAGUGCAAAAUGUCAUUUGCUUCUGCUGAAAAAGAGCUAAAGCAUCACUUAAAAAUACUGCCUUCUCAUUUUGAUGCAGAAACUCUGCAGGUCCAUGUGCAUUGUGAAACAACCAUUUUGGUUCCUUGUUGUUUGUGGAAACGCUCUUGCAGACUGAUGUGGGGACUGAAGAGGCUGCCCAGAAAUGUGUCCAGUCUCUGGUGUGUCAUGUGGUGAAGCUGAAAAGCAACCUUGACAGAGGAGAGCUUGGUAUCUUAGUGAAAAGAUGCAAUUCUUUAAAUAUUAAGACUGAUCCUCCAAAUGGACAGGCUACCAUUUUCUGAGUUGCAAGGGUCUUAUAUCACUUUUAGGGGAAUGGACAUAGGAAAUAAUUUGAAGAGUGAGAACUAUUUUGAAGAUAUCGGAUAUCUUCAAAUAUUUAGCCUAUUCAGUGAUCUGCUAGGUAGAUUACCAUGGAAUAAAGCCCUGGAGGGAAUAGGGGCCCAAGAAAUCUGCUUGUUAUUCAAGAAUCACCUCCACUAAAAUCAGGAGCAGCAAAACCCAAUAAAGAAGAAGUCAGGCCAAAAUGCCAGUAGGCCUAUGUGGACGAACAUGGGCUCCUGGACAAACUCAGACACAAAAAGGAAACCUACAGAGCAUAAAAACAAGGAUGAGUAGCCUGAGAGGAAUACAGAAACACUGUCCAAGAAGUCAGGGGUUUAGUUAGGAAAGGUAGUCUUGAUAGAAUUGAAUCUGGCUCUGGGAUCUGAUUGAGAACUGAGGGAACUGAGGGAACUGGCAGAUGAAGUUGCAUCACUUUUGAGAAUUUGUUGUACUCCAAUGAUGUUUCCAGUUACUGGAAAAGUGGAAACGUAGCCCACAUUUUAAAAAAGGGCAACAAGGAAAAUCUGGGAAAUUACAGGCCAGUUAUUCCCACUUCCGUGCCUGGCAAGAUCAUGGAGCAGAUCCUCCUGAAAACUAUGCUAAGGCACAUGGAAAACAGGGAGGUGAUUGGUGACAGCCAACAUAGCUUCACUAAGGGCAGAUCAUGCCAGAGAAAUUUGAUAGGCUUCUACAAUGGGGCUAUAGUGUUGCUGGAUGAAGGAAGAGCAACUGACAUAAUUUACCUGAACUUGUGCAAAGCAUUUGACAAUGUCCUGCAUGACAUCCUUGUCUCUAAACUGCAGACAUGGAUUUGAUGGAUGGAUCACUCAGUGGAAAAGAAAUUGACUGGAUAGUCACACUCAAAGGGUUGCAGUCAGUGGCUCCAUAUCCACGUGGAGACCAGUGAUGAGUGGUGUUCUCCCAUGCAUUAGUAUUGUGACUGGUGCUGCUUAUCAUCAGCAACAUGGACAGUGGGAUCAAGUGCACACUAAGCAAGUUUGUUGACAACACCAAGCUGUGUGAUACAUUUGACAAAGCAGGAGGGCAUGGAUACCAUCCAGAGGGAACUUAACUGGCUUGAGAAGUGGGCAUGUGUGAACCUCAUGCAGUUCAGUAACGCCAAGUGCAAAGCCCUCAGAAAGCCAAUUGUAUCUGGGCUGAAUCAAAAGCAGUGUGAUCAGCAAGUCAGGGGAUGUGAUUCUCUUGUGAGACCCAACCUGCAAUACUGCAUUCAGUUCUGGAGCACCCAGCACAGGAAGAACAUGAAUCUGUUGGAGCAGGUCCAAAGAAGGGCCACAAGGAUAGUCAGAGGGCUGGAGAACCUCUCCUCUGAAGAAGGGUUAAGGAAGUUGGGCUUGUUUGCUUUUAGACGAGAAGUCUCCAGGGAGACCUCAUUGUGGCUUCCCUGUACCUAAAAGAACCUACAGGAAAGAUGGGUAGGGAAUUUCUACAAAGGAAUGUAGUAAUAGGGCAAAAGGUCCUGGUUUUAGAUAAAAAGAGGGUAGAUAUAGAUUAGAUAUAUGGAAGAGAAUAUUCAUGAUGAGGAUGGUGAAGCAUUGGAGCAAGCUGUACAGAAAAGCUGCGGAUACUUCACGCUUGGAAGUGUUAAAUAUCAGGUUAUCAAACAUAUUUACCCAGAUAUAUCAUAUUGUUUGAUAUCUUUUAUAUGUUAUUCAUGACUCAAAUAUUUGACAAAAAUCACUUACUAGCAUUUCGGACAUCAAUUUUAUAAAAACAAUAACAACAAAUAAAAAAAUUACCACAGAUGAGGUACAGUUAAAAUGCAUGAAAUAUGUCCCCUAUGAAUUAGUGUAAAUGCAUUAUUUUAUAGGUGUGCUGCAAGGGGAAGGAAUGUAGUAUCUGCAUUUUAUUGUUGAAAGCAUAGACUAAGACAGUACUAUGAGAAAGUAAUAAUACUGAAACGAGAAAAAAUGAGAAAUUAUUAAUGAACUGUCCUCUUAAAUAAGUGGAAAAAAAAGUCUGUCUUCAAUUUUCUCCUUAGAAAUGCACCCAAGAACUGAAAUGUAACAAUCAGGCAACAAAUAUUUUAUAAAAAAUGAUCUAGAAAGGAAAGCAGGUAAGUCAUUUAAAUCACAAAAACUUGACUAUAGGCCACCGGGCACAGAGCAGCAUUAAGCAGAAGUACUUGAGCUGGCUCAGAUAUGAGAAGCAAGUUUAGCAGAGAUUCCCAGCUCUGUUAAUUAUGUGGGUGACAUCCUUCUCAAGGCACCUUGCCCAGUGCCAUCACCUCUGCUGCAGUUCAUUGUGUGAACUAUCACAGUUUCUUUUCCAAGGUCUGCAUCUCUGGUGGGAAAACAGAGAUUUUCAGGUUUCCUUCAUGAUAGAAUUUGGUCUCCAGAGGAGCACAGGGUGUCAAUGACACGGUAGCCAUGAUGUGAACAUGCUGCCAGGUUGGUACCCAGAUGUAUCUAUAUGGCUCAGCACUGCUGCUGAGCUGCUUUCCUAUCCUUCUUUUCUUCUGUCUCAUCCACGAAUACCUGAUGGAUGAAGUUUUCACUGCUUGUACCAUGUCACCUCUUCCCACAGUAGGUGGUCCUGCAGCUGCAGGCCAUCUUUCACCAUGGCCAUUAAGGCAGUGUGGGCUCCUACAGCUUCUACCAGCUUUCCCAGCUCUUUGACCCUGAGACCUUCACUCUCCAGAACUUGAUUAGUUUUGGGAGAUUUGAUUGCUGUCACGAAUCUCAUGGCUUUAAAAGGCAGCCUGCUUCAUCCAGAUGAAUAUUCAGGUGGAGAUGACACUGAAGUUUCUGGACAGUACAGAUGACUGCACGAGUAUUAGUUUUAAAUCCUUUAACUAGUGGCUGGAAUGCUCACAGCUCAUCUUUUAAACUGAGAUCUAAGUCUUCAUUAUCUGAAACAGGAGGCAUGUACCAAAGAACACCAUUCAUUUUCUCUUAUCCUCUUUUCUAAUACAUCAGCCAAUAACUCCUAGCUUAAGGGCCACAGAAGUCCUCAGUGGCUACAGCUGUAUUUGGGAGUAGAGAAGAGCAUCUUCCUGACUGUUGUGAAAAAGAACAGAGGAGACUUUUCUGAUACAGAAAACAGAGGCAGAGAUUGGCCUUGUUAGAGAAAAUGAUGUGAAAUCCAAAGAAUUAUGCCUUGACAUGGACCAACAUAUGCAUACUUUGCACAUAAUGGAAGAGCUAUGGGAAUAUUGUCUGCAAAGUUUUGCAGAGUGACUUAUACAGAACAAUUUUCAGAGACAUCUUAAAGCUUAAAGAAAAAAAAACUAUAAGAACAAUGAGACUUAGGCAUCCUAUUACGCACUGGUAUGAAUGCUAGAAUAGCAUUAAAUAAAAAAGGCAGAUAACCCUCUGGAGCUGCGGAAUCACCACUGAAGGUGUAAGGACGAAUAGUCAGUGAAGUCUUUUUAUAGAGAAUACUGCAAGGAGGAAGUGCAAGGGCAGUCACCAGCUACAAUGUACAGGACUGGCUGAGAGAUGAAAUGACCUGAAGAGUGGAAAGUUAGUGGGGGGAGACAGCUUGAGGUGAUGCACUAAGCUUUACUCUACAUUUUGAAGAGCAAUCCUGGCUGUACUCAUGACCACAGCGAUUACCGUAGCAUCCAAUUGAGUCCAGCUUUUUUGUGGUCUGCCUUUCUGUCUCUUUGGAGCAGCCAGAUGGUCAAGGAGCAGCAGCUGAAUACUACAAGAUACUGAAAAAUUGAGAGAAGUUGCAGCACAAGUGAGCAGAGGUGAACUAUAUCAAUGAAAAUCUCUUGGCUUCACUCCACUUCACUCCAGUUUUUAAAGAAAAGUGUUAUUCCAGUUGCUGAAUUCUUCUCCUGAAGUCCUUCAUCUCCUUGCUUGUAUUAAUGGAAGAGCUGCCUGGCUGAGGAUGAAGACAGCUCUGGUCUGACUACCCUGAUCCAGAGAUGAAAAUACUCACAAUUUCGAGUUACUCAACAAAAUCACACCACAUAGUUUUUUCUAUUUUCUACAGAGCUGACUUUGAGAGUACCAGAAAAUAGCUCAUGGCUCUCUUGCUAUACAACCAUUUUAAAGAUCUUUGUUUUCCUAUUUCACAGAAACUUAACACAUUAAAUUUUAAAAACAGAACAAAUGGAAAAGUGUAUAUUUGAAAAGUCACAUUAGCUACAAGGUCAAUUGCUUUUCCACAUCAGAAAUCAGUACAUGGUGUUCACAGAUUGCUGUCUUACACAACAAAGAAAAGUCUGCAAUUUUCUGAAUUAAGCACUUCACUUAGUUCAAACAACCACAUUAUCAUAAAAAGCACUUAGAGGAAAUAAUGUAAAUACCCUCUCUCUCUGAAAAGUGGAAAAAUGCACCUUGAUUGCUGUGAAUGUUGGGGGAAUCAUUGAAUCCUGAAGUGAAUAACCCUGGAAAUUUAUUUAAAAGGUCAGUAAUUGAAAAACUGAGCAAUGGAAACAAGGAAGGCCUAAAAAGAAGAUAAAGGCAGUUUGAGAUGGAUCUGCGUUGCCUCUCAAGUUCAUCUGGGGAGCUGGUCUGGAAGAUGCUGCACUGGGUAAUGAUGGUAAUCAAACAAACUACGUAUGCUAAGAAGCUCUUCAGAGGUCAUGGCAAAAAUUCUUCAGGAAAGAGCAUUGUAACUCUCUCUCUCUCCUACCAGACACAAUUCUCCAGCUUUUUAUUUGCAUUUUAAACAAAUGAAAAGAUACCAUUAUGCUAUAACUGAUCACAAAAUAAUGGCAUGAUAAGAGGAUUGGUCUGAAUGUAAUGCCUUCAAUUAUAUUAUGUUGGCCCACAGUGUCAGAGCUGGAUGUUUGUGGUAUGCCUGUAGAGGCUGAACCUUCCCAUCAAUACUCCAUUAAAUUUUGUUCCCAUGUGACAGAUAGCAGCAGAGGGGCAGUUGGACAAAAUGGCAUCUGACAAGGAAGUGGGUAUGAAGCAAUGUGUAUAACUGAACUCAUCUGUGUGGAAAAAGUGGCACCCACUGACAUUAAUGGACUCUUGCUGAAUGUUUAUGGAGACCCGACAGUGGAUUAGCACAGUGAGUUGGUGGGUGGUGCAUUUCAGCAGUGGCGACAGAAACAUUGAGUCACCUCUGCUGCUGCAGGUUCUUACAAGUGUGACAUGCAGUUCAUCACUGGUGAAAAUGCAUAGCUAACGGUGGUGACUGUGCUGAAAAAUAAUAUUUUAUAGCUGAGAAUGUGCUCUAUCAAAUAGUGUUAUCAAGCUCUCUGUAUGUUCUACUUUCCAUGGAAAUAAAUAACAGGCAUUAGGUUUCCGUGGAAACAAAAAGGAGGCAUUACUUUCAGAGCUACCUACGCAUGUGGUCAUGUGGUCACCAGUUCUGUGUCUUUCAAAACAGGGAUGGUGUCAGGGGUAUGGUGGAGGAGCAAAGAGCAGGGUUCUAGGGCAGUACUGGCCUCUCUUUUCUCUCAUCUGUUUUUCCUGUUCUGAGAAAUCUAUGCCUGCAAGAGCACAGAACCCAAGCACAGGAAUAUCCACAUGCAUGCAUAUACACUUAAGUCCUCCAGCGAGAUUUCUGUGGCAAAUCUUGAAGUGAUAGAAUGCAGCACGCAUUUCCAAAUGGGUUCAUUUAUUAAAUGUUUUAAGGGUUUAACAACUCUGUUAACUUUUGGGUUGUACUGGUCAUGGGUUAAAAUAAAUAUCCACUUUAAAGUUGUUGAUACUUACUUCUUGUCCUUGUCAUCAGUAGAGGGCAAGUAAUUCUGAUUAUCAAUAGAGCUAACUCCUGCUGCACUGACAGCUCUGGCUUCUGUUAUACUAAGGGGGAAGACUGCAUAUCUUUCCACAUCCAACUUUAUGGGAUAUGGGAUGCACUCUUCACUCCAGGGACCAGGCAUGAAAUAGUGCACGACAACACAGCAGUGAGUGAAUGACCUCCUCCUUCAGAUACUGAAAGGCUGCUAUUGGGCUUCCCAAGAACCUUCUCUUCUCC